AAAUAAAAAAAAUAAAAAAAAUCAAAGGAUUUAAUUCAAUACAGUCCAAAAGACCUACACAACAUAUGAAUCCAAGGUACAUCCAAAUAUCAUCUAUGGUAUUUAAAUUUGGAAAUGUGGCAUGUUUGAAAUGUGCAAACAGUGAAGGGGGAAGUAUGUGAUUUGCUUAAGGGGUUGUAAAUGAACUCCAAGUAAGGAGGCUUAUUAUUUUUGAAGUGUGUGUAUUUGUGUGACUGUUUACAUAUUAGGAUAAUAAAAGGGUUUAUGAUAUUAAUAUUACUAGUUUUGCAAAUAUAGUUUGUAAAUAUAUUUUUCCAGCUAUAUAUACA
rnacentral:lncRNA from 1 species